GAUGAACGCUGGCGGCGUGCCUAACACAUGCGAGUCGAACGAGAUGCGUAUUGGAAAGCUUCGGCCGGAAGAUGCGUUAUCUAGUGGCGGACGGGUGAGUAACACGUGGGUAACCUGCCUUAUGGAGGGGGAUAACAGAGAGAAAUCACUGCUAAUACCGCAUAAGCACACAUUGCCGCAUGGCAGAGUGUGAAAAGAUUUAUCGCCAUAAGAUGGACCCGCGUCUGAUUAGCCAGUUGGCAGGGUAAAAGCCUACCAAAGCAACGAUCAGUAGCCGAUCUGAGAGGAUGACCGGCCACAUUGGGACUGAGGCACGGCCCAAACUCCUACGGGAGGCAGCAGUGGGGAAUAUUGCACAAUGGGGGAAACCCUGAUGCAGCGACGCCGCGUGAGUGAAGAAGUAUUUCGGUAUGUAAAGCUCUAUCAGCAGGGAAGAUAAUGACAGUACCUGACUAAGAAGCCCCGGCUAACUACGUG
rnacentral:rRNA from 1 species